rnacentral:rRNA from 1 species
GAAACGCUGGCGGCGUGCCUAACACAUGCAAGUCGAGCGGAGGCAGCGGAAGAGCAAUCUGAGGCUGUCUGAGCGGCGGACGGGUGAGUAACGCGUGAGCAACCUGCCUUCCACAGGGGGAUAACGUACCGAAAGGUACACUAAUACCGCAUGAGACCACGGUACUGAUGGUACAGGGGUCAAAGGAGGAAUCCGGUGGGAGAUGGGCUCGCGUCCGAUUAGGUAGUUGGCGGGGUAAUGGCCCACCAAGCCUAUGAUCGGUAGCCGGCCUGAGAGGGUGAACGGCCACAUUGGAACUGAGAGACGGUCCAAACUCCUACGGGAGGCAGCAGUGGGGAAUAUUGGGCAAUGGGGGGAACCCUGACCCAGCAACGCCGCGUGAGGGAAGAAGGUUUUCGGAUUGUAAACCUCUGUUCUUGGAGAAGAGUGUAAGACGGUAUCCAAGGAGGAAGCCCCGGCUAACUACGUG